rnacentral:rRNA from 1 species
AAAUUGAAGAGUUUGAUCAUGGCUCAGAUUGAACGCUGGCGGCAGGCCUAACACAUGCAAGUCGAGCGGUAGCACAGAGAGCUUGCUCUCGGGUGACGAGCGGCGGACGGGUGAGUAAUGUCUGGGAAACUGCCUGAUGGAGGGGGAUAACUACUGGAAACGGUAGCUAAUACCGCAUAACGUCGCAAGACCAAAGUGGGGGACCUUCGGGCCUCAUGCCAUCAGAUGUGCCCAGAUGGGAUUAGCUAGUAGGUGGGGUAACGGCUCACCUAGGCGACGA